rnacentral:rRNA from 1 species
UUAUUUAUUUUAUUAUAUUUAUUUUUUUGUUUAUUUAAUUAUUUAAUAGAAAUAAUUUUAUUGAAUUUUGUCUUAGUAUAUUUUGUAGAAUUGAUUUUUUAAAUUAUAGUUUAUUGGUAAUGUAAUUGUUUUAUGAAAUAUUAUUUUAAAUUUUUAAAAGUAUAUUUUAUUUAUUGUACCUUUUGUAUCAGGGUUUAUCAAAAUUUUAGUAUUUAAUUUACUUGUCUCGAUUUGGGUUGAUUUAUAAAUAAUUUACAGUUAAUGUAUCAUAAUUAUUAUUAAAUUAUUUAUUGAAAUGAAAUGUUAAUCGUUUCCCAAGAUAUCUAGUUUCUUAAGAAAAAUUUUAAUUUUUUAAAGUUAAUUGUUUUUAUUUAAUUUUUUAAUUAAAAAUAUUAACUUAUUUAUUCUU